GAUGAACGCUGGCGGCGUGCCUAAUACAUGCAAGUCGAGCGAAGCGGGGACGGGUGAGUAACAGGUGGCUAACCUCCUAUAAGACUGGGGUAACUUCGGGAGACCGGAUCCAAACCCGAUACUUAGAGAUGGUUCCUCGCUGCAUUAGCUAGUUGGUAAGGUAACGGCUUACCAAGGCAACGAUGCAUAGCCGACCUGAGAGGGUGAUCGGCCACACUGGAACUGAGACACGGUCCAGACUCCUACGGGAGGCAGCAGUAGGGAAUCUUCCGCAAUGGGCGAAAGCCUGACGGAGCAACGCCGCGUGAGUGAUGAAGGUCUUCGGAUCGUAAAACUCUGUUAUUUGGGAAGCGGUACCUAAUCAGAAAGCAACGGCUAACUACGUGCCAGCAGCCGCGGUAAUUC
rnacentral:rRNA from 1 species